CACGUAGGGGACGAGCGUUGUCCGGAUUCAUUGGGCGUAAAGCGCGCGUAGGCGGACCUGCAAGUCGGGGGUGAAAGCCCGAGGCUCAACCUCGGAACUGCCUUCGAUACUGCGGGUCUCGAGUCCGGGAGAGGUGAGUGGAAUUCCUAGUGUAGAGGUGAAAUUCGUAGAUAUUCGCAAGAACACCAGUGGCGAAGGCGGCUCACUGGCCCGGUACUGACGCUGAGGUGCGAAAGCGUGGGGAGCAAACAGG
rnacentral:rRNA from 1 species